GGGAUCGAAGAUGAUUAGAUACCAUCGUAGUCCUAGCCAUAAACGAUGCCGACUCGGGAUCCUGAAUCGUUAUUUUUAUGACUUUCGGGGCACCGUAUGAGAAAUCAAAGUCUUUGGGUUCCGGGGGGAGUAUGGUCGCAAGGCUGAAACUUAAAGGAAUUGACGGAAGGGCACACCAGGAGUGGAGCCUGCGGCUUAAUUUGACUCAACACGGGAAAACUCACCAGGUCCAGACAAAGUAAGGAUUGACAGAUUGAGAGCUCUUUCUUGAUUCUUUAGGUGGUGGUGCAUGGCCGUUCUUAGUUAGUGGAGUGAUUUGUCUGGUUAAUUCCGAUAACGAACGAGACCCCAACCUGCUAACUAGACUGCGUUAUCUUCUCGAUAGCUCAGCGCUUCUUAGAGGGACAUUUCGGAUUUACCGGAAGGAAGUUUGUG
rnacentral:rRNA from 1 species